CAGUUUCUGGGCUGGGAUGGUAGUUCAGUGGUGGAGUGCUUGCCUAGCAAGUCCAAACCCCAGCAUUAAUGGGGAAAAACGAUCGUUUUCCAUACCCAGAAUGAAAUAAAGCCACUUGCUAGAGCUUAACAUGGAUGCUUCUGUUUUUCAGUAAAUUAUGAACUAAAAGAAGCAGACAAAGGAGUCAGAUUUGAGCUACGACUAAGCUCUGACCGUUGUUCUCAUUGAAAUGGGAUGGAGGUAAAGGUGGAAGGAAAACCUGCCUUACACAGGAUUUCCCUCAGAAAAUCGUUCCCCGAAGAACAACAGGCGAACCUGAAGAGAUGGAUUUACUGGCUCAGAGUUUUGGAAGAGGAGCAACAGCUGCAGCUGGGAAUCUGUUCCCUGUUCCUUUACUCUGGGCUCAUAUUGAUGGAGCUCCUGUCACCUGGAAAGUUGUCAUCUGCAACUGUUGGAGAAAGGGGACAUGGACAUGUAGACAUCAGUAUUUCCAUUCAGAAUGCCUGGGACUUCAAUCAAGCUCUCUGCUACACCUUGCUUCUCUUCCAACGAUCUUGCCCGUGUACUCUUGGUGCUCCAGGGACACCCCAGGGCCUGCUUGGUACACACAUGUCUGUGCCGUCUCUGUGGGAGCACCACAAGUUGCUCCAGGGUGCCAGCUGGGGCUCGUCUUCCCUCCACUCACUGGUAGAAAACCAGAAGAAAUGUGACUUGGGGAAGCCUCCUCAGUGUGGCAGUCUGAAGGGAAUCUUGGCUGUCAUCACUACACCAUCUCUUUUAUUCAAAUCCUCCCCACACAUAAAGGCUUCAUCUCAGACCGCCUCAUCUGAGAAGUCUUCCCAAACUACUCCAACUUAUAUUAGCUUCCCUCCUCUUUUUUUUUUCUGAAAUGUUCAUCUUAAUAGCAGUGGCAUAUGGGAGGAGGGUGUGGUAGGGCCAUCUGUUGCUGUGUGCAGAAAUAUUUCACAGUUACUUUUCAGAGUUCUGACAGUGAUGAUCAUAAAAAGCAGACAUGCCUUUAGCCGGCUAUUGUUGUAGAUCUGUGCAGAUUGCACCCCCUCUGUGAGCUCCUGUGUGCCCCAUCCCCUCAGCAUGGUCACUGUGUUACAGAAACUCACAGCUUGCUGAGAAGUUUAGCCUUACUUUUCUCCUUGCAUUGUGGGGUCAGCGGACGUGUCUUACUGCUUUCACCCACUCCCUCUGAGUCAAGCCCAAGCCUGGGGACACCACUGCUGCUAAACGCAUGAUUGUCUUGGUGACCUGAGUGAAUGCUUGAAGGGAUCUUCUAUUCUCAGCAACUCCACAGCAGUGCAUUAUGAUUAUAAUCUCUUCUCUUUUUUAUUUUUUUAUUUUUUGUUUUUUUUCCAGUACAAGAGAUCGAACUCAUGACCUUGCACUUGCUGGGCAGGCGCUGUACCACUGAGCUAAACCCCAGCCCCUAUAAUCUCUUCUCUUGAAAUCCUCUCUAGCUUCAAGGAGGAGAGGGAUGGAGUGAGGACAUGGAUAUGGAUAGUACAGAACCCUGUCGGUCUGUACCCCUGGCUGGCUGACUGCACAAAGUGACAGAAGAAAGAUGGAAUCUGGAAGGCUGGGCUACACCUACCCAGAAUCCUCCAAUUUAAUUAGGGGCAGGAAUCUGACUUUUGCUUCUCUUCUCUCAUUCCCUCCCCUUCCUUUCCUAAUUACUUUGAUGGGAUUUCAGAGGCCAGGGCAUCUCUUUCCUGACCUCAGCAGUCUGUAUGAUUUCAUUUUGAUUUUGCUUUGGCCAAGCCCUUGACCUGUUCUAAUUAUUUUCCCAAAGUGCCUGCAGUCCCCAGUGCCUGCAAGCUAAUUAUCUGCAGAGCAUGUCCAGAGGAUCUGUCAGCUUUUGAUGGAGCUAGGGCUCUGCAGCAUCUGUCGGCUGGUUGAGUACCACGGAUUCUACUUGGUACCUUGGAAUCACUCUUGCAGGCUGUCAGUGUGUGGGAGGCUUAGGAGGGGCCCUGCCUCUGACUAAGGCUGGGUGUCCAUGAGUAACACCAGUAAGCAAGAGUGAGAUCUUAGUAGACAGUCAGUCUAACCGCAUGGUGGCUAUUCUCUCUGGGAGUGAGGCCAUAUGGAGAAGUAAUCUUGUUCUAUUAUUUAUUCAAUUCAUACCAUCAUCUACUCAACACCUUUGACCCCUACUAUGUGCUGGACAUUGUCCCUGAUGUUAUGUGCCUUGGAGUAGGACAAGCAAACAACAGAGAACUAUAGGAUGAAGAAUUGAGAGAUGACAGAAAAAGGAUGACUGUGAAAAUAUCAGAAAAUCAAUAGAUAAAAGUCACCUUGUCACUCUAAGACCCAUGUACAAACCCAAAGGUACAUGACCUUGGCCUGCAUCCAGCCUCAUUUGUGUUGGAGUUUUGACCUCCUAGUGGGCUUUGGAUGCCAUGACACUUGGUCUCAAAACCCUGUCUGCUCAAAUGCUCCCCCUCCCAAUGGGUGGGUUGACUCAGGUGCCUCGUUGGCCAGAACUCUGUGAAUCCCCUACUGUGGAUUCUCCUACAAUCCCAGGAACUUCAGAGACCCAAAACCUGGCCCCAUCCAAGCCAUGAACUCUUUUCACCAUCCUCUUCCUACCCUGUGCAGUGUACCCUUGCUUCUUUUACUUUUAACAAAUCUUACCUUGACACUCCUUUGAGGGUCUUGCUCAUUCUUUGUUCACGAUAUCAAGAAUCUGAAAUCAACUGCCUGGUGGCUUUCUAUCUGGUAACAUGCAUGAUAUAAAAAUAAGCAAGACACUGCCUCUGCC
ensembl:lincRNA